AAGUCGUAACAAGGUUUCCGUAGGUGAACCUGCGGAAGGAUCAUUGUCGAUGCCUCAACCAGAACGACACGCGAACCGGUUCAAGAGUACCAACCGAGGGGGAGGAGGGAUGGGGGCGUGCUGUGCUCUGCCUGCCUCCAGCCACCCGACCCCCUCGGGUAGUUGCACGGGGAAGCCAGCGCCUUCGAGGCACGGGCGGAACCGUGGCAACGAAAUAACCACAACCCCGGCGCUAGAUGCGCCAAGGACCCAUAAGAAACAGGCACGACCCUGGCUGCCCGGAGACGGAGACCCGCCAGGGAAGCGCCGCUGAACUUGUAACCAAAACGACUCUCGGCAACGGAUAUCUAGGCUCUCGCAUCGAUGAAGAACGUAGCGAAAUGCGAUACUUGGUGUGAAUUGCAGAAUCCCGUGAACCAUCGAGUCUUUGAACGCAAGUUGCGCCCGAAGCCACUAGGCCGAGGGCACGUCUGCCUGGGCGUCACACAACGUUGCCCCCAAUCCCACUCUCACUCCCUCCCCAUCGGAGGGGCGAGCGGCGGGCGGGGCGGAAGCUGGCCUCCCGUGAGCGCGGCCUCGCGGAUGGCCGAAAGAUGAGCCUGUGGGGGAGCGAUCACCACGGUCCACGGUGGACGAGCAGGGAAUGCCUUGAUACCGACCGUGCGUGCGUCGUGUCCCCCCCGAGCCGGGCUCCUGGACCCUCGUUCUCCUAACGCGACCCCAGGUCAGGCGGGGCUACCCGCUGAGUUUAA
rnacentral:rRNA from 1 species